AGUGAACGCUGGCGGUAGGCCUAACACAUGCAAGUCGAACGGCAGCACAGUAAGAGCUUGCUCUUACGGGUGGCGAGUGGCGGACGGGUGAGGAAUACAUCGGAAUCUACUUUUUCGUGGGGGAUAACGUAGGGAAACUUACGCUAAUACCGCAUACGACCUACGGGUGAAAGCAGGGGAUCUUCGGACCUUGCGCGAUUGAAUGAGCCGAUGUCGGAUUAGCUAGUUGGCGGGGUAAAGGCCCACCAAGGCGACGAUCCGUAGCUGGUCUGAGAGGAUGAUCAGCCACACGGGAACUGAGACACGGUCCAGACUCCUACGGGAGGCAGCAGUGGGGAAUAUCGGACAAUGGGCGCAAGCCUGAUCCAGCCAUACCGCGUGGGUGAAGAAGGCCUUCGGGUUGUAAAGCCCUUUUGUGGGGAAAGAAAAGCAGCAGGUUAAGACCCCGCUGUUCUGACGGUACCCAAAGAAGAAGCACCGGCUAACUUCGUG
rnacentral:rRNA from 1 species